rnacentral:lncRNA from 1 species
AUGGGGAAAACUUCAAAUACCCUCUUUGUGGUUUCACUUUUUCUCACUUUAGUAUCCUGUGGUUAAAAGUGUAUCAAGUUAGUACCCUGUGGUUUCGCACUUUCUUACUUUAGUAUCAUGUGGUUUAAAGUGUAUCAAGUUAGUAACCUGUGGUUUCGCACUUUCUCACUUUUGUACCCUGUAGUUUAAUAUUUCAUUAAGAGAAAAAUAAAACCACAGAGUACUAAUUUGAUACAAAAAUAAAACCAUAUGGUACUAACUUGAUACAAAAAUAAAAACAUAGAGUACUAACUUGAUACACUUUAAACCACAGGAUAUCAAAGUGAGAAAGUACAAAACCACAGAGUACUAACUUGAUACACUUUAAAUCACAAGACACUAAAGUGAAAAGUUAUGAAACUAUAGGGAGAUUUUCUGAAGUUUUCCCAAAC